UUUAUUACGGAUGUAAAUGUAUAUAAAUACGCGAAUAGCAAACAUGAUUUGUAUUGAAUCUAUAUCGGUACAAGAGUUGUUAGUAAAUAAAUAUGAAGAAAUUGCAGGUGAUUCUUUUGUUGUAUUUAAUUUGUGUCAGCGAAAUGUUCUUUGGAGUAGAAUCAUCGCAGAAAACCAGUAGAAGGAAAGGCAGUGGUAAGCAACGCCAGCGCGUUAUAAUCAAGAAUCCUCCUAUAAGACCAUGUGAACCCAAAGAACUUGUAGGAAUUUGCAGAUUAGAGUGCAUGAGACUGAAACUGAGAUAUUGUGUAAGAGAUUCAUUCAAGUGCGAAUGUCCCUAGAAAAUUUAACACCCUCUUACAUAAUACACUUCACGAUAAACGCAUUAGAGAAUAUAGACGACGUUUCCGAUAUUUGUCAUAGAUAAAAUGCAAUUAUGGUUUUAUGAGACAAAAAUAAAAUUUAAAAUCUUAACAA